rnacentral:rRNA from 1 species
ACAAGGUCUCCGUUGGUGAACCAGCGGAGGGAUCAUUACCGAGUUUACAACUCCCAAACCCCUGUGAACAUACCUAUACGUUGCCUCGGCGGAUCAGCCCGCGCCCCGUAAAACGGGACGGCCCGCCCGAGGACCCUAAACUCUGUUUUUAGUGGAACUUCUGAGUAAAACAAACAAAUAAAUCAAAACUUUCAACAACGGAUCUCUUGGUUCUGGCAUCGAUGAAGAACGCAGCAAAAUGCGAUAAGUAAUGUGAAUUGCAGAAUUCAGUGAAUCAUCGAAUCUUUGAACGCACAUUGCGCCCGCCAGUAUUCUGGCGGGCAUGCCUGUUCGAGCGUCAUUUCAACCCUCAAGCUCAGCUUGGUGUURGGACUCGCGGUAACCCGCGUUCCCCAAAUCGAUUGGCGGUCACGUCGAGCUUCCAUAGCGUAGUAAUCAUACACCUCGUUACUGGUAAUCGUCGCGGCCACGCCGUUAAACCCCAACUUCUGAAUGUUGACCUCGGAUCAGGUAGGAAUACCCGCUGAACUUAAGCAUAUCAAUAGGCCGGAG